rnacentral:rRNA from 1 species
UACAGAGGGUGCAAGCGUUAAUCGGAUUUACUGGGCGUAAAGGGUGCGUAGGUGGCUUUGUAAGUCAGUGGUGAAAUCUCGGAGCUUAACUCCGAAACUGCCAUUGAUACUGCUUAGCUUGAAUCAAGUAGAGGUGGAUGGAAUAAUACAUGUAGCGGUGAAAUGCUUAGAUAUGUAUUAGAACACCGAUUGCGAAGGCAGUUCACUAUGCUUGUAUUGACACUGAGGCACGAAAGCGUGGGGAUCAAACAGG